rnacentral:misc_RNA from 1 species
UCCGAGUUGACCCCGGCAGUCUCCUAUGAGUCCCCACCAUCACGUGCUGGCAACAUAGGACGAGGGUUGCGCUCGUUGCGGGACUUAACCCAACAUCUCACGACACGAGCUGACGACAACCAUGCACCACCUGUGCACGGCCCUUACGGACCCCCCAUCUCUGAGGCUUUCCUGUGCAGUUCAAACCCAGGUAAGGUUCUGCGCGUUGCUUCGAAUUAAACCACAUGCUCCACCGCUUGUGCGGGCCCCCGUCAAUUCCUUUGAGUUUCAGUCUUGCGACCGUACUCCCCAGGCGGGGCACUUAAUGCGUUAGCGCCGGCACCCAGGGGGUCGCUCCCCCAGGCACCUAGUGCCCAUCGUUUACGGCGUGGACUAC